ACAGCAUAGGUUAGCUGCAGGCUCCGCAGUAUCCACUGCAAGGAGAAGCAGCUAAUGCAGCUCUCGGAAAGACAAAUUAAAGACUUUAAGACUUUCAAACGCUACCUUAAAUUUUAUUCCAUACCGAAAUGAAGACAAAAGCAGCCGGCACACUCUGCCAUCAUGAAUGUGUAAACUAUAAACUAAAAAAACAGGAUGCUGGAAACCGAAAGAUAACAACAGAGACUAAACCCACAGAAACAUCUGCUCCACUGAGAAGCUGCUGUUGUCUCUUCUACUCCAGGCAGAGGCUACCUCAGACCAAGAGUCUGCAGCCAGGCUGCCAAGGCCCAGCAGUGCUGUGAGCGAACAUGCUCCCAAUGAAAAGUUUGGCAGCUGCCCUCACACAGUACGGACUGCUGCCUGCAGUAUGCAUACAACUGGGACACACUACUUCAUCACAACACUGCGCCUUGAACUUUGACCCUCUUGCUCAUUCUCAUGCUGCGCAGAGGAUUGUGGAGAGCCUCCACCCCUCCACCCCUCCACCCCUCCACCCCUCUACCACCCCACCGUCACCCGUGUCAAUGCUGUCUAUGACUCCCUGCGGAGGAUCUCCAAAUGGCUGCAAUUUAUAGGCUUUCACCCUCUAAAUGGAUUUCAUCGACAGGGUCAGCACCGGAGAGCUUACAUCACAGUACAUCACAAUACAUUUCCGAUCGGCUACAUUCUGAACUGUCCAGACCUUUUAGCUGGUCUGGGACAGGUCUGCUUACUGUCUCCGGAGUCGUAACUUCUUUUAUAUCAAGGCUUAAAACUUUUCUGUUUCACACUGCUUAUCUUAAAUCUAGUUUGGGGCUAUUUAUUCUUAUGCUGCACUGAAAGAAACGUAUUCUUCUGCUUCAUUCAAUUUCAGCGUAUUUGUCUCAUUUAUUUUAUUUUAAUUUUUAAAAAUCCCAUUCACAUGUAUAUUUUAUUAUAUUGCCUUGUGUGUCUUUUACAUAUUUUCUUAAUGCCUUUUUAUGUCUUAUGUAAAGCACUUUGAAUAGUAGUUGAAAGCUGCUUAUACAAAUAAUUUGCCUCACCUCACCUUGCUCAACUUUAUGAAUGCCAAUUAAAUAUAACAAAAAAUUAAAUAGCUGAUGUAUGUUGUCUUUUGAUAGUUUCAAAAAGUAGAAAGUGUUAGCAAGUAAUUAAAUAAAAACUUUAGGAAGAAAAUUUCUAUGUGUUAUCAGAGCACUAAUUUUCAUAGCCCUUUUCCAAUAGCUACGUGUUUAAUCCAUAAAGGAUACGCAUUAUUGGGAAACAUGUUAUCUACUGCAUUCUUUCUAAUGGUGAAUGUGUUGCUGACAUGAUGGACACUGAUGGCUGAGAAAAGUAAAUGUAUGCUGUCAGUGCACAGUACUUUUGCAUCUUAUUUGUAAUUGUAUUUGUAUAUAUGUAUUAUGAGGCAAAUGUCAAUGUGAAGCAGGUGUUGGUACUGUAUAUUAUUACAUUAUUCCACCUAGAAAGCGACACCACCAAAACAGCAGACUUGACCUUUAGCUCUUUCUCCUCUGAAUGGACACUUCCCUGCAGCUUAAUGGACUCCUCUCUCUCAGACAUUCACACGCACGUAUACACAUCCACUUGCCUUGCCAGAAAGGCCACGUUCAGCGGGUGCAGGUCAUUGGCCCCGAGGCAGGUUCAAUAUUUAUGGGUCGCUGCAGCAUUUUACUGUCUCAGCUUGACAAAAAUGAUCAGCAUCUCAGGCACUCUGCCUGUCAAUCCAGCAGCUCUGCACAUCACAUAAGCUUACAUCGCAGUCAGCCCUGCAGGAUGUCACUGAGAGAUGGCUAAUAAGCUGGGUUUCCCCAGCCAAGGAUAAAUCACUCUGGAUCCAGAACCGAAGCUGCUCCAGCCUGACGUCUGCAGCAGGGAAGGAUGGAUGGAUGGAUGGAUGGAUGGAUAUGUAAAUGCUCUGAAUUCUAAUACAGUCUUUGCUUGUUUGUCCUACAGCCAAAUUCAACACCUGAUUAAAAUGGGAUGUUGAUGUGUAUUACUGUGCAUCCAGCCACCUUGUAUUAUUAUCUGCAAAAUAUCUACUACUACCAUUUCCUACAAAUCCGCCAGUGGCCAC